rnacentral:lncRNA from 1 species
GGAUCCGGAAAGUGUGGCAAAGAAGGAAGUGUGCUGUCAAGAAUGGGAUACUGACCAUUUCACAUGCAACUUCCAACAGGCAGCCUGCUAAGUUAAACCUCCUCACCUGCCAGGUGAAACCGAAUGCUGAGGACAAGAAGUCUUUUGACCUGAUAUCACAUAAUCGAACAUAUCACUUUCAGGCAGAAGACGAGCAGGACUAUGUAGCGUAAGUACUUUUAAAAUGACGGUGCAGUGGUUUGAAAUUAAAGCAUUAUUAACUAC